rnacentral:rRNA from 1 species
AAGGAUCAUUCAUAAUAAGUGUUCUACUGCACUUUUUAACAAGUACUCACCUUGUGUGCAAUGUUUGCUGACGCGUCGUUCACGCGUCACGUCAGCAUAAUACCAACCUUUACUUUAAUUUUUUUGUCUUAAGCUAUUUUGAAUAACAUAAUUCUAAAUACAACUUUCAACAACGGAUCUCUUGGCUCUCGCAUCGAUGAAGAACGCAGCGAAAUGCGAUACGCAAUGUGAAUUGCAGAAUUCAGUGAAUCAUCGGAUCUUUGAACGCACAUUGCACUCUCUGGUAUUCCGGAGAGUAUGCUUGUUUGAGUAUCUGUAAACAUCUCAACUCUCACGGCGCUUGCGUCGAGAGGAUUGGAUUUGAGCGAUCCCGACUCCUUCGUGAGAAAGAGGAGGGUCGCUUGAAAUGCAGGUGCAGCAGGACAUUCUUCUGAGCUAAAAGCAUAUCUAUUUAGUCCCGUCAAACGGAUUAUUACUUUUGCUUCAGCUAACACAAAGGUUGAAUGAACCACAAUCGCUGAUUGCAGGAAAACUCGUUCGUAACAGAACUUGUGAACUCGAUCUCAAAUCAAGUAAGACUACCCGCUGAACUUAA